AAGUAAUAGAAUAAUCAAUGAUCUCAAACUAUAGGGCAACCAUUGGUUGUGCUCUAAGAAAACCACGGUCAACCGACCACCUCCCCCUACUCCCUCUUUGUUCCCUACUUCAACCUCCUCUAUGUGAACCACCAUUCAUCAUCUACCACCUUCAUUUCUUGUCUCCAAACAUCUGUCUAUAAAUGCACAGGGGAAAUGAGCUUUGAAAUCAUAAAUUCAAACCACAAAAAAAUCACAAAUUUUCUCCUCUCACUCUUCCUCUUCUCGGCACCACCGAGCCACCACCACUGUGCGCACCACCUUUGGCGCACCACCACCCUCUCACCGACGAAAUUAUGCCCGUCCCUCGCCAGCGACCCACGCCGCACCUGCAGCCCGUCGCUGCUCUCUCUCUCUCCUAUUUCCGUCGCUAACUCCCUUGCUUGGGCCCAGCAGGCUGCUGCCCUGUUUUCCCUGCUGCUGCUGGAGCUCUAAAUACCGAAGGCCGACGCGAGUCUGCUUUCGCCGCCUCCGAACUCCCGUUCCGUCGCCUGCUUUCGCGGCCUGCACCCCAGCCGGAGCUCGCCGGAGCUCAUUACCCGCCUUGCUCGUCCCUGCUCCAAGAGAGUAGAGUUACAGGUGGAGGAAUUAUGUUACGAUAUAAGAAUGAACACGGACGAAAAGGGUCAUAUGAUAAAGUUAAUAAUAUGUCCAAAGCCUGUACUUGCCAAUGAACUAUGGUCACGCAAAUGUUCCUUGUCAGCAGACUAUUCAACGAUGACGUUUUCUGAUAGUAUUUCCGAACAAUUACCAAUAUAAUGUGAUAUAUGUUUGUGCAUGAAAAUGUUUACGAACUAAAACCGUUCUUACGGGCUGGAGUGAAGUUGCUGAGUUUUCAACUCAUUUUAGGUUACUUUCUGUGUCUUCUCUUUUCUCUACUUCAUGAAAUUAUUCAGGUAUUAUAAAGAUAGCUCAGGAUCAGUUAUGUCAAGGAUGCUCCAGGAAGGCCGAGUUGAAGUGACUCUGUAUACAUGGGAGUUAACUAGAAUUCUCUGUAUUUACGGGUAAUAAUUAUUGCUAAGAGAUGAUCACUUGUAUGAUUAAGAGGCCAUUUUAGGCUAUUAUUUUA